UACGGGGGGGGCAAGCGUUGUUCGGAAUUAUUGGGUUUAAAGGGUGCGUAGGCGGCUUUGUAAGUCAGUGGUGAAAUAUGGCAGCUCAACUGUCAGGGUGCCAUUGAUACUGCGGAGCUUGAGUACAGAUGAGGUAGGCGGAAUUGACGGUGUAGCGGUGAAAUGCUUAGAUAUCGUCAAGAACACCGAUAGCGAAGGCAGCUUACUGGGCUGUAACUGACGCUGAGGCACGAAAGUGUGGGGAUCAAACAGG
rnacentral:rRNA from 1 species